UACGGAGGGUGCAAGCGUUAAUCGGAAUUACUGGGCGUAAAGCGCACGCAGGCGGUUUGUUAAGUCAGAUGUGAAAUCCCCGAGCUCAACUUGGGAACUGCAUUUGAAACUGGCAAGCUAGAGUCUUGUAGAGGGGGGUAGAAUUCCAGGUGUAGCGGUGAAAUGCGUAGAGAUCUGGAGGAAUACCGGUGGCGAAGGCGGCCCCCUGGACAAAGACUGACGCUCAGGUGCGAAAGCGUGGGGAGCAAACAGGAUUAGAAACCCUAGUAGUCCACAUCGCGUGCCAGCAGCCGCGGUA
rnacentral:rRNA from 1 species